CUCGCAAUAGCUCAGUGGUAGAGCGUUCGGUUGUAAUGGUUGAAAAAUCCCGAUCGGUCGUGUGUUCGACUCACACUUGUGAGA